rnacentral:rRNA from 1 species
AGAACGAACGCUGGCGGCAGGCCUAAUACAUGCAAGUCGAACGCACUCUUCGGAGUGAGUGGCAGACGGGUGAGUAACGCGUGGGAACCUUCCCAAUGGUACGGAGUAACUCCGGGAAACCGGUGCUAAUACCGUAUAAGCCCCUCGGGGGAAAGAUUUAUCGCCAUUGGAUGGGCCCGCGUCGGAUUAGCUAGUUGGUAAGGUAAUGGCUUACCAAGGCUACGAUCCGUAGCUGGUCUGAGAGGAUGAUCAGCCACACUGGGACUGAGACACGGCCCAGACUCCUACGGGAGGCAGCAGUAGGGAAUCUUGGACAAUGGCGAAAGCCUGAUCCAGCCAUGCCGCGUGAGUGAAGAAGGCCUUAGGGUUGUAAAGCUCGUUGGCGGGGACGAUAAUGACGGUACCCGCAGAAUAAGCCCGGCUAACUUCGUGCCAGCAGCCGC